rnacentral:rRNA from 1 species
UUUUCGCAAUGCCCGAAAGGGUGACGAAGCGACGCCGCGUGGGUGAAGAAGGCCUUCGGGUUGUAAAACCCUGUCAGGAGUUAUGAAAUGUAAGUACGCUAAUAUCGUGCUUAUUUGACAAAGGCUCCAAAGGAAGCCACGGCUAACUCUGUGCCAGCAGCCGCGGUAAUACAGAGGUGGCGAGCGUUGUUCGGAAUUAUUGGGCGUAAAGAGCACGUAGGUGGGUUUGUAAGUCAGAUGUGAAAGCCUUCUGUUCAACGGAAGAAUUGCAUCUGAAACUACUAAUCUUGAGUAUAGGAGGGGAGAAUGGAACUUCUGGUGGAGCGGUGAAAUGCGUAGAUAUCAGAAGGAACGCCGGCGGCGAAAGCGAUUCUCUGGCCUAUUACUGACACUCAGUGUGCGAAAGCUAGGGGAGCAAACGGGAUUAGAUACCCCGGUAGUCCUAGCCGUAAACGAUGGGCACUAAGUAGAGGGGUUUUAAUC